CCAGAGUAGGUGACAGCAGAGUUAGGGGUGGCCUUCACAAGAGAAGAACCUAAGAGAAUUAGAACAGCUGGGGGAAAGGCUAUAGAGAAGGACGGGAUGUUGAAGGAAUUUUGCCCCACACUGAAUAAUAACCAUCUACUACUGAAAACAGAGACAGUGAACCACAAUACUGAGAUGCGGGUCUCUGAAGACUGCAGGGCAGUCCUUCUUAAUGUUCCUUGACUAUAAGACCUCCAAAGCAAAACACCAGAGAAGCCUACAGCUGCCUCAUCCCUAAUCCACGCCCUUGGGCUUACUCUUUCCAUAGAUUCCAAGGACCGCAGAACCCUCUGGUGCACUCUGAUCCUCCGCAGUGAUCACUUUUAGUUGGCCAUCACCUGUAGCUACAAGUAUCAUCAACGGAUAUACACCCUUCCUCAGAAAUUUAAUGGAGGAGGCCUCCUUGGAGCCAAGAAAUGGAAGAGGUGAAGGAACUGCCAAGGAUGACUAUAAAAGGACAAGCAAGGGACAUGGCUGGGCAAAGGCCUGCAGAAUGGAACUCGGGUACAUGGCUCCAAGAAGGCCUCCAGGAAGAAGCAACACCAGCUUUGCGAUGACAUGAAAAAUCACAUUAAGAAGCAUUCUGUAAUCUAGUCCUGGAACUGA